GAUGAAGAACGUAGCGAAAUGCGAUACGUAAUGUGAAUUGCAGAAUUCAGUGAAUCAUCGAAUCUUUGAACGCAUAUUGCGCUCUUUGGUACUCCGAAGAGCAUGCUUGUUUGAGUAUCAGUAAACACCUCAAAAGAUUUUCAUUUUUGAAAUGAUUUUGGACUUGAGCAAUCCCAACACCAGUCUUCACGGGUCGGCGGAGGGUUGCUUGAAAUGCAGGUGCAGCUGGACAUUCUCCUGAGCUAAAAGCAUAUCUAUUUAGUCCCGUCAAACGGAUUAUUACUUUUGCUGCAGCUAACAUAAAGGGAGUUUGACCAUUUUGGCUGACUGAUGCAGGAUUUCACAAGGGUCGGUAAAACGAUUUUUGUAAAACUCGAUCUCAAAUCAAGUAAGACUACCCGCUGAACUUAAGCAUAUCAAUAAGCGGAGGA
rnacentral:misc_RNA from 1 species